rnacentral:tRNA from 1 species
GCCUGGGUGGCUCAGUUGGUUAAGCAUCCGACUUCGGCUCAGGUCAUGAUCUCGCAGUUCGUGGGUUCGAGCCCCGCGUCGGGCU